UACAGAGGGUGCAAGCGUUAAUCGGAAUUACUGGGCGUAAAGCGUGCGUAGACGGUUAUGUAAGUCAGGUGUGAAAGCCCCGGGCUCAACCUGGGAAUUGCAUUUGAGACUGCAUAGCUAGGGUGCGGAAGAGGGAAGCGGAAUUUCCGGUGUAGCGGUGAAAUGCGUAGAUAUCAGGAGGAACACCUGUGGUGUAGACGGCUUUCUGGACCAUAGCUGACGCUGAGACACGAAAGCGUGGGUAGCAAACAGG
rnacentral:rRNA from 1 species